rnacentral:rRNA from 1 species
GAGUUUGAUCCUGGCUCAGAACGAACGCUGGCGGCAGGCCUAACACAUGCAAGUCGAGCGCACUCUUCGGAGUGAGCGGCGGACGGGUUAGUAACGCGUGGGAACGUACCCAGAUCUAAGGAAUAGCCACUGGAAACGGUGAGUAAUACCUUAUACGCCCUUCGGGGGAAAGAUUUAUCGGAUUUGGAUCGGCCCGCGUUAGAUUAGAUAGUUGGUGGGGUAACGGCCUACCAAGUCUACGAUCUAUAGCUGGUUUUAGAGGAUGAUCAGCAACACUGGGACUGAGACACGGCCCAGACUCCUACGGGAGGCAGCAGUGGGGAAUCUUGGACAAUGGGCGCAAGCCUGAUCCAGCCAUGCCGCGUGAGUGAUGAAGGCCUUAGGGUCGUAAAGCUCUUUCGCCAGGGAUGAUAAUGACAGUACCUGGUAAAGAAACCCCGGCUAACUCCGUGCCAGCAGCCGCGGUAAUACGGAGGGGGUUAGCGUUGUUCGGAAUUACUGGGCGUAAAGCGCGCGUAGGCGGGUUGUUAAGUUAGAGGUGAAAUCCCGGGGCUCAACCCCGGAACUGCCUUUAAUACUGGCAACCUAGAGUUCGAGAGAGGUGAGUGGAAUUCCGAGUGUAGAGGUGAAAUUCGUAGAUAUUCGGAGGAACACCAGUGGCGAAGGCGGCUCACUGGCUCGAUACUGACGCUGAGGUGCGAAAGUGUGGGGAGCAAACAGGAUUAGAUACCCUGGUAGUCCACACCGU